rnacentral:rRNA from 1 species
UAGGGAAUCUUCGGCAAUGGACGAAAGGCUGACCGAGCAACGCCGCGUGAGUGAAGAAGGUUUUCGGAUCGUAAAACUCUGUUGCUAGAGAAGAACAAGGACGUUAGUAACUGAACGUCCCCUGACGGUAUCUAACCAGAAAGCCACGGCUAACUACGUGCCAGCAGCCGCGGUAAUACGUAGGUGGCAAGCGUUGUCCGGAUUUAUUGGGCGUAAAGCGAGCGCAGGCGGUUUCUUAAGUCUGAUGUGAAAGCCCCCGGCUCAACCGGGGAGAGUCAUUGGAAACUGGGAGACUUGAGUGCAGAAGAGGAGAGUGGAAUUCCAUGUGUAGCGGUGAAAUGCGUAGAUAUAUGGAGGAACACCAGUGGCGAAGGCGGCUCUCUGGUCUGUAACUGACGCUGAGGCUCGAAAGCGUGGGGAGCAAACAGG